CGGCUCGGUACCGCCGUGUGUCGGGUGCCGUUUUACUCACCGACGGCAGUAAAAGGCGGUGAUGGCGUAUGCAGCGUCACCACUCCCCCGC
rnacentral:lncRNA from 1 species